UUCAGCAGGCGGAACUAUACAGGGUAGACUGAAGAGUUCUCCGGCGAAGGAACACUGUGGGCCGCAAGGAACCGAAAAAGAUGGAGGUUUCCACACGGAGACGUUUAGAGAGCAGAUCCCGACGGAGAGCUGGUGGGCGAUGGUGGGGGUGUGGUAUCGACCGGUGACCUUUAAUGACCUUUGAUGCCCUACGGUUGAUGCUCACAGAGAGGAGGUGGUGCACGCUGGCAUCAUGAAGAGCAAUUCAACCCCCCCUCACCUCCCGACCUCCUGAAGAAGAACUAAGUCGGUUUGUCAGGAUGUCAGCUGAUCUCUGCUCGUCAAGACGGAGGUAAGACUGGACUGGGGGUAAAGAUUAAGAAGACGUGAUGACUGAAGCAGGUCCUGGAGAUGAUCCCAGCUGUCUUUGGUUGAGAGGGAGCGUACACCUGGACAGGUAUCCAGCUCCAAAGGUUGUAGUUUUCGGUGCUGUUGAAUUGGAGUGUGAAACAAUGCCAAUUGGCCAUGGGAUGUUACAAGCUCUCUGAUUGGUUGGAGAGCUAACCAGUCAUAUCUGGUUUUACCAGCACCGACGCUCCAGAGUGUCAGAGACAGACUAACAGGAGAAGCAGCUGGAAAAAGGGAAUGAAAGUUGAAUUCAGGAACAUAUUCUCGUUUUUAAAAUGUCUUUUCAAAUAGUUUUUCAAAUUCUAUUAUUUAUU